rnacentral:lncRNA from 1 species
UGGUUUACAUCGUGGGAGGGUGAAGAAAGGAAUAAAAAAGAACCAAAAGCUGCCUUUGCAGCUGGAGAGAACACGAGAGGGCAGGAGGUCAGAGAGAAGCAGCAAAGCUUCAGUGCCAGCGCGGGGAGACUGUCAGAAGCAGGAGAUAUAAGGGGGCGGUCUUGGGGGAGAAACGAGAAGAAAAAGGGGGAGCUGCCUUUGGGCAGCUCGCAGAGACGCAAGGGACAUGGUGAGCACAGGGAGCUGCCCUUUUUGGCAGCGUGAAGAGUGGAGAGAGCAAAGGAGAGAGGGCUGCCUUGGCAGCGUGUGAAGAAAAGCACACGGAACAGGAAUUGGAGAGCAGAAAGCUGCCUUUGGGCAGCGUGAGGGACAGAAAAUAGAAAGAAAAUAGAGGGAGGUCAGAGAGGUUAGAAGAGAGUAGCGCGGAUGGGAGGAGGACAGAGACAACGUCAGGUGGACAGAAGCUGCAAGCCUUCUCUCUCUCGGUUAAAUCUUUCUAAAACUUCUAUUUUAUUUCUAUUUUUAAUAAUGUGUAAAUAAAUUGAUUUUGGCUAGAGGUUAAUUCAAAGCCAUGAUUAUAUCUGUAAUAUGAAUUGAUUACCUUCGGUUGUGAUUUCAUAAGUUGUGAUUUCAAUUUACUUAUCCGUUCGUAUAAAAACUGAUUUGUGUAUGUUGGUUGAGAGUGCACGCUUAAUUUACAUGCAUGAAUUUGAUGCUAGAAUAUAAGUGAAUUUCACCUAAUCGUUAUGAACUUAUUUUCACAAGUAGUAAAGGUUGCUAGUCACAAUCACGUUAAGUAAAUUCUUGGCAAGAGUAUCAUGCUUUUCAUAGUUACGAAUGUCUCGUCAAUGCUUAUGUUUUUCAUAGAACUUAAUGAUUCUUGCUUGUAUCUCUAUUAUGCAAUUCAUGUAGGGAAC